GGAAGGCAAGCGCACCCGGUGGUGCGGCCGGGCUUCAAACCCGGUAGGGGGUGUCAGCCACUCCCAGGUAGGUUCGACUCCUGCUGCCUUCCGCCA
rnacentral:tRNA from 1 species